rnacentral:rRNA from 1 species
AUUGAACGCUGGCGGCAGGCCUAACACAUGCAAGUCGAACGCGUCGCGGACGGGUGAGUAAUGUCUGUGAAACUUCCCGAUGGAGGGGGAUAACUACUGGAAACGGUAGCUAAUACCGCAUACCAUCGGAUGUGCCCAGAUGGGAUUAGCUAGUAGGUGGGGUAAUGGCUCACCUAGGCGACUAUCCCUAGCUGGUCUGAGAGGAUGACCAGCCACACUGGAACGGAGACACGGUCCAGACUCCUACGGGAGGAAGCAGUGGGGAAUAUUGCACAAUGGGCGCAAGCCUGAUGCAGCCAUGCCGCGUGUAUGAAGAAGGCCUUCGGGUUGUAAAGUACUUUAAGCGGGGAGGCGUUACCCACAGAAGAAGCACCGGCUAACUCCGAGCCAGCAGCCGCGGUAAUAC